GACGAACGCUGGCGGCGUGCUUAACACAUGCAAGUCGAACGGAAAGGCCCUGCUUUUGUGGGGUGCUCGAGUGGCGAACGGGUGAGUAACACGUGAGUAACCUGCCCUUGACUUUGGGAUAACUUCAGGAAACUGGGGCUAAUACCGGAUAGGAGCUCCUGCUGCAUGGUGGAGGUUGGAAAGUUUCGGCGGUUGGGGAUGGACUCGCGGCUUAUCAGCUUGUUGGUGGGGUAGUGGCUUACCAAGGCUUUGACGGGUAGCCGGCCUGAGAGGGUGACCGGCCACAUUGGGACUGAGAUACGGCCCAGACUCCUACGGGAGGCAGCAGUGGGUAAUAUUGCACAAUGGGCGGAAGCCUGAUGCAGCAACGCCGCGUGCGGGAUGACGGCCUUCGGGUUGUAAACCGCUUUCGCCUGUGACGAAGCGUGAGUGACGGUAAUGGGUAAAGAAGCACCGGCUAACUACGUG
rnacentral:rRNA from 1 species